rnacentral:sRNA from 1 species
CUCGAUGUCGUGUUUGCCUCUUCCUCUAAGUGCGGAAAGGAUAAGACCAAGUCUGUUUCUUCCACCAUCUUCUUCCACUGUGACCCUCUGGUGGAGGACGGGAUCCCCGAGUUCAGUCACGAGACUGCCGACUGCCAGUACCUCUUCUCUUGGUACACCUCAGCCGUGUGUCCUCUGGGGGUGGGCUUUGACAGCGAGAAUCCUGGGGACGACGGGCAGAUGCACAAGGGGCUGUCAGAGCGGAGCCAGGCAGUCGGCGCGGUGCUCAGCCUGCUGCUGGUGGCGCUCACCUGCUGCCUGCUGGCCCUGUUGCUCUACAAGAAGGAGAGGAGGGAAACAGUGAUAAGUAAGCUGACCACUUGCUGUAGGAGAAGUUCCAACGUGUCCUACAAAUACUCAAAGGUCAAAUUCUCUAAGUUAACCUUAGCAUUGAUGCUGCUGAAAUACUGGAGCCAUUGAACUGGCACUUCUGACCUGUUCCUACACUAUCCUCCCACCUUUGGGUGCUGAGACGCCUUCCUGCAGCGCCGCCUCUGGAAGCUUGAAGUCACUUUCCUGUGUCCCAGCAUUUCUCUACAAAUAAAUUGUUCUUAGUGA